UACGAAGGGGGCGAGCGUUAUUCGGAAUCACUGGGCGUAAAGCGUGCGUAGGCGGUCUUGUAAGUUAGGAGUGAAAGCCCAGGGCUUAACCUUGGAAUUGCUCUUAAAACUGCAAGUCUAGAAUCUCGGAGAGGAUAGCGGAAUUUCCAGUGUAGCAGUGAAAUGCGUAGAUAUUGGAAGGAACACCAGUGGCGUAAGCGGCUAUCUGGACGAGUAUUGACGCUGAGGCACGAAAGCGUGGGGAUCAAACAGG
rnacentral:rRNA from 1 species